UCCCAAAAUUACAAUCAACACUUUAUCAGCAAUGGUAAUAGUUAUUCAAAACGUAUGGGUUCUUAACGACUGUACUCCAGUUCACUGCUGUGGUCUUAACACCAUUUAUGUUCGUCUCAUCUCGGUAGUGGAAGUACUCUAUUGCUAUGGUAACAUGUAUCUCUUCUCAGCCCAGAGAUCUGUGCUACUGUGGCGUGAGCAUUUAUACUAUGAAAACUGACAAAUUAAAAACAAUGUAAUUCCUGCUUUUGAGCAUCCAGCAAUCUCACAGCAGGGCACUUUGCCUAAGAGAGCAGAGGAAAAAGCAGGUGAGGGGCCCGGGGAAGCCAUGUGAUUAUCCCAGGCAGGGGCAGGAAUGAUCUGUGCAACUCUACUUGGCUGUUUUAUUAUAAAAGAGUUUACGAAAAGCAACAGCAGUGCCAGACAUCCGGCCCAGGGGCUGAGAGCUACUCACACGAAGGCUGCCUCUCUGAAAAAUGGGAUUCGAUGUUGACAGGAGAAUCCUCCCUUACAGAGAAUCCAUUCUGCUGUGAAGAAAUGCUCUGCUCAAGGCCGGUGGCAAUGAUGAUUGGCUUUUCUUUAGAACUGUGGAUCCAGAGGGGAAAUACUUUGCUGUGUUUAUCCUCAAGGUGGCCGGAGUAGUUCUAGGUGUGGAGGAGCCCAUCCUGAGACAUGACAUGUGGGUGACAGACGUUUGAGGCCCUGCCCACACUGCUGCAGCCCACUGAAGGCUGAGAAGUCUUUUUGUUCAUGACUGGCAUGUUCAGGAAAAGGCUGGAAGUCUCAAGGCAAAGGAAGGGGAGAAAGAAGAGGACGGGAGGAUGGGUGGGUGUCUCAUUCUGCCCCACCGUCGACCUGAGCUUAGAGAAUGAACAAAGAAGAAAGGCAUCACCUGGACUCACGAGGAAACAGGAGUAGAGGUGUGUUGUGGUCGGUCGAUUCACACCCUGUCUUCAAGGAGGCUGAGGCAAGGGGGAAGCUUUCAAAAACCGAAACAAAAGCAUACAGAUAUUUGAAGAUUAAAACCCGUUAAAUUUGUGUAUAGUAUAUCAGUGUCUGCCUUGCGAGUACAAGUGCCCAUGAGGGCCAGAAGAGAACUUUCCAUCUCCCAGAGCUGGAGUUACAGGGAGUUGUGAUCAGCCUGAAGAGAGUGCUGGGAGCAGAAUUCAGGUCCUCAGUAAGAGCAUAGCCACUCUUUUUUUUUUUUUUUUUUUUUUUGUUCAUUUUUUCGGAGCUGGGGACCGAACCCAGGGCCUUGUGCUUCCUAGGCAAGCGCUCUACCACUGAGCUAAAUCCCCAACCCCGAGCAUAGCCACUCUUAACGACUGAGCCGCCUCUCCAGCCCCGGAAGCUCCUCACGUGAUAAAUGGUCUCUGCAGUGGAGGCUCUACGGGAGUCUUGUGACAGCUUCUUUCCAGCAUUGUGUGGGAGAGCCUUCCUCUGUCACUCCUGGUCUGCUUACUUUCCUGGAGUUGAUGCAAAAGACUUCAUCUUGAGUCUCAUACCUUUCCCAGCCCUCGGGAUGAUAAUUUGCAAAAAUAAAUACACUUAAAAACUGA